rnacentral:lncRNA from 1 species
CUCUUGCAGUGAGAGAAGACAGAAAGGCUGCUCUCUGUCCCAGCCCAGAGCCGAGGGCGGCGCCCCACAAAACGGCCCUCCUGGGAGGAUCACUCGCCUUCUUGCAAGGAUCUUUUACUGCCUCUUCUCAUCGUGAUGGCGAUGCGAAAGGACCCUUGCCUACAACUGUCUUGUUUGUUCAUUUGCAUGGAUGGGACAGAAUCUACCUAAUCUGGACCAACACAUUGUGACUGGAGUCUCCAAAUCUUUUAGAUAGGAAUGUUCUACAGGCUUUCAGGAUCACUCAUCCAUCUGGACCCUGGUGACAACGUUCUUGGAAAACAA